rnacentral:rRNA from 1 species
GAUGAACGCUGGCGGCGUGCCUAAUACAUGCAAGUCGAGCGAACAGACGAGGAGUUUGCUCUUCUGCCGUUAGCGGCGGACGGGUGAGUACCACGUGGAUAAUAUCCCUAUAAGACUGGGAUAACUUCGAGAAACUGGAGCUAAUACCGCAUAAUAUAUUCAAUCGCACGGUUCAAUAGUGAAAGUCGGUUUUGUUGAAACUUCUAGAUGGAUACACGCCGCAUCGUCUCGUUUGUAAGGUAACGGCUUACCAAGGCGACGAUGCGUAGCCGACCUGAGAGGGUGGACGGCCACACUGGAACUGAGACACGGUCCAGACACCGAAGGUAGGCAGCAGUAGAGAAUCUUACGCAAGGGGCGAGAGCCGGACAUAGCAACGCGGCGGGAGUGAUGAAGGUCUGCGGAUCGGAAAGCUCUGAUAGAAGUGAUGAACAAAUGUGUAAGUAACUAUGCACAUCUUGACGGUACCUAAUCAGAAAGCCACGGCUAACUACGUG